rnacentral:lncRNA from 1 species
AUGCUAGCUGGACCGUCCAGUCGAAGCCCUCUCUGUUAUCAAAUAGCCCCAGAGAGCCCAAAUCCGACGCGCUUCCCACAGUGCCGCCCUCCUUCAGCCAGUUGUCGCGGAUUCUCUUCUGGUGUUUGGGAAGCCGGAGCGCCAUCUUUACUCUUUAGAGUGAUUUUGCCUUUGGAUUCCCAUCCAGCGCUUGCUUUUCUCCUUCCCCCCCCCCCCGCCACGCCGCUCAGGUCCAGGUCGCAGACGGUGAGGUUGGCGGGCGGCCGCGAGCGGGUGGCCCGCAGCAGCAGCGCCGGCAGCGCCAGCACCGCGGCCAGCAGCCAGAGCGCGCCCGGCGCCGCCGCGGCCCACGGCCCGGGGUUGGGGCUGGGGCUGGGCCCGGGCCCGCCGCGACGGGCGCACGGGCGACCCGGGCUCAGGGAGCGGCCCACGGCCACAUAGCGCUCGAAGCUGAGGCCCGCCAGGCAGAAGGCGCUGGCGAACAUGGCGAGCAGCACCACGUAACUGCUGCCCUUGCAUAGCGCCGCGCCGAAGGGCCAGUGGAAACGCAGCGCCGUGUACGCGGCCCACAGCGGCAGCGGCGCCACCAGCGCCAGGUCGGCCAGCGCCAGGUGGCCCACGUAGGCGGCCGAGGCGCGCCGUCGGCCGGCGCCCCCCGGCGCCCCCCACACCGUGGCCAGCACCGCGCCGUUGGCCGCCAGGCCCAGCAAGAACACCAGGCUGUAGAGCAGCGGCAGCAGCCAGAAGGACAGCUCCCAGUCCUCCGCCUCCUCCCCGCCACCGCCGCCGCACGCCGGCCCGCCCGAGCCGUUGUAGUAGUCGUAGUAGUAGUAGUAGUCUUCGUCA